GACGAACGCUGGCGGCGUGCUUAACACAUGCAAGUCGAGCGAGGCCCAUCUUUCGGGGUGGUGCCCUACGCGGCGAACGGGUGAGUAACACGUGGGCAACCUGCCCUCAGCUCUGGGAUAACUCCAAGAAAUUGGUGCUAAUACCGGAUGUGACCGCUGACCGCAUGGUCUGUGGUGGAAAGAUUUAUCGGCUGAGGAUGGGCCCGCGGCCUAUCAGCUUGNGGUUGGGGCACGGCCCACCAAGGCGACGACGGGUAGCCGGCCUGAGAGGGUGGACCGGCCACACUGGGACUGAGACACGGUCCAGACUCCUACGGGAGGCAGCAGUGGGGAAUAUUGGACAAUGGGGGCAACCCUGAUCCAGCCAUGCCGCGUGUGU
rnacentral:rRNA from 1 species